CUCUGGGGACGUCGUGGGUUCUGUAAAACGUCUCUAGCGGCUGUCUUCUUGCUCUGUGAACUCAUGCCAACGUAUCUUCUGUCGUCGUCCUGUGUUAACACCGACGUCCAGCGCUCCGGUGUGUCUCUGAGGGAGGGCCAGGCGACCGGGUACCAGGUACCAGGGGCUGUAGGGUGCAGGCGUGCUGCUGAGGGGACUCUGGGGACGGGCUGCAGGAUGACGGUGGCCGCCGCCUGGAGGACAUAGAAGUCACUCUGGAGCAUAUGCUGAUGGACGUCUUCGGAAAUAUACAUGCUGAGGAAGAUAAGACUGUAUGCACUACGCGGGGCUUUGGUAAGACGUGAAUAAAAGACGACACAACACUAGUGAAGAA
ensembl:lncRNA